AUAACUCUAUUUAUAUGUAGUUGGAACAGUUUUCCUUCGUUUGCCGCUAGGGGCGCUGUUCCAAAUUCCAUACAAAUGAGUUA
rnacentral:pre_miRNA from 1 species